rnacentral:lncRNA from 1 species
UGAUUUUAUGUUUAAUCCUUUUAUUUUGUUUAAUUCAUAUUAAUUUCAUAUUUAACCCAAAAAAUAUGGGAAUUUCACCAAAAAUCUUUAAAUAUUUUUCUCUUCCAUAUUCUGAAUUACAAUAUUUUUUGGAUUAAUUUUGAUAUUUUUCAUGAAUUAAAUGUUUUUGUGCAUAUUUUUAAUUGUUUAAAAAUACUUCUGAC